CCUACGGGAGGCUGCAGUGAGGAAUAUUGGUCAAUGGACGAGAGUCUGAACCAGCCAAGUAGCGUGAAGGAUGACUGCCCUAUGGGUUGUAAACUUCUUUUAUAUGGGAAUAAAAUGUUCCACGUGUGGGAUUUUGUAUGUACCAUAUGAAUAAGGAUCGGCUAACUCCGUGCCAGCAGCCGCGGUAAUACGGAGGAUCCGAGCGUUAUCCGGAUUUAUUGGGUUUAAAGGGAGCGUAGAUGGAUUGUUAAGUCAGUUGUGAAAGUUUGCGGCUCAACCGUAAAAUUGCAGUUGAAACUAGCAGUCUUGAGUACAGUAGAGGUUGGCGGAAUUCGUGGUGUAGCGGUGAAAUGCUUAGAUAUCACGAAGAACUCCGAUUGCGAAGGCAGUUCACUGGACUGCAACUGACACUGAGGCUCGAAAGUGUGGGUAUCAAACAGGAUUAGAUACCCGAGUAGUC
rnacentral:rRNA from 1 species